rnacentral:miRNA from 1 species
CUUACUUUGUCUCUCUCCCUGUUCUCCUUUCUCUACUGGUAUUCCAUAAAUAUAUAUAUAUAUAUAUAUAUAUAUAUAUAUAUAUAUAUAUAUAUAUAUAGAGAGAGAGAGAGAGAGAGAGAGAGAGAGAGCAUU